GUGGGGAAUAUUGCACAAUGGGCGAAAGCCUGAUGCAGCAACGCCGCGUGAGUGAUGAAGGUCUUCGGAUUGUAAAGCUCUGUCUUUUGGGACGAUAAUGACGGUACCAAAGGAGGAAGCCACGGCUAACUACGUGCCAGCAGCCGCGGUAAUACGUAGGUGGCGAGCGUUGUCCGGAUUUACUGGGCGUAAAGGGUGCGUAGGCGGAUGUUCAAGUGAGAUGUGAAAUACCCGGGCUUAACUUGGGUGCUGCAUUUCAAACUGGAUAUCUAGAGUGCAGGAGAGGAGAAUGGAAUUCCUAGUGUAGCGGUGAAAUGCGUAGAGAUUAGGAAGAACACCAGUGGCGAAGGCGAUUCUCUGGACUGUAACUGACGCUGAGGCACGAAAGCGUGGGUAGCAAACAGGAUUAGAUACCCUGGUAGUCCACGCCGUAAACGAUGAGUACUAGGUGUAGGAGGUAUCGACCCCUUCUGUGCCGCAGUAAACACAUUAAGUACUCCGCCUGGGAAGUACGAUCGCAAGAUUAAAACUCUAAAGUGAAUUGACGGGGUC
rnacentral:rRNA from 1 species